AGAAGUAUAGCUCAGUGAUAAGAGCACUUGUCUAGCAUGCAUGAGGCCAUGGGUUCAAUCCCCACCACCUCAU
rnacentral:tRNA from 1 species